rnacentral:rRNA from 1 species
GCAAGUCGAACGGAAACGAAAAUAGCUUGCUAUUUGGCGUCGAGUGGCGAACGGGUGAGUAACGCGUAGGAAUCUACCCAGUAGAGGGGGAUAGCCCGAAGAAAUUCGGAUUAACACCGCAUAAUCUCUACGGAGUAAAGAAGGCCUCUUUACAAUGCUUUUACUAUUGGAUGAGCCUGCGUUAGAUUAGUUAGUUGGUAGGGUAAAAGCCUACCAAGGCGACGAUCUAUAGCUGGUUUUACGAGAAUGAUCAGCCACACUGGAACUGAGACACGGUCCAGACUCCUACGGGAGGCAGCAGUGAAGAAUAUUGGACAAUGGGGGAAACCCUGAUCCAGCAAUGUUGCGUGUGUGAAGAAGGUCCGAGGAUUGUAAAGCACUUUCAGUAAGCAAGAAAAAUGUAAAUCUAAUAGAUUUGCAUGUUGACCACUUAUAGAAGAAGCACCGGCUAACUCCGUGCCAGCAGCCGCGGUAAUACGGAGGGUGCGAGCGUUAAUCGGAAUUACUGGGCGUAAAGGGUAAGUAGGCGGUUUAUAAAGUCACAUGUGAAAGCCCU